rnacentral:lncRNA from 1 species
GAGAAUAUAUAACAACAAGUAAAAGAAUGACAAACAGCAAUUGCAAUUGGCCCAAAGCAAAAUCACCAAAACCUAAACUACAUUCUGAUCUCUUCGGCCGCCAAUCCCAUCCCCACUUUCCCAAUUCUUUCUUCAACCAUGGUUAGACUAAAAAAUGCGAGAACGACAGAGAAGAAGAGUGAGAGAGAACCCCAUAACUUCUCUAUUCUUGAGCAGAAGAGGUAAGCUCGUAUCUCUAUAUUUUACGGUUUGUGAGUUUUCUCAUACCUACUUGACAUGAAUUUUUGGUUUUAAUUUUGCGAAUUAUUCAGCAAUUUAAUAUUCUGCCCUAUUUUUGAUAUAUAGUGAGUGAAAAUUUGAAGAUUUUAAAGUGGUAAUUUUGGGAGGAGCCAUAGUUCAUGGACUGUAACAGCAAAGCAACAUUAGAAAAUUGGGAUGAAGAUCCUUUAAGAAGUUUAAAAAGUCUACAGGUUUUUUUAAUUCUUUUGUUGCUUUGUACUUUUCUAUUUUGUUAUCUGUUAAAAAUUCUUGUAAAAGAAUUAUCAAGAAAUAUUUCUUGUCUUAUUGAUAUUCUAUUAAUAUUUUUACUAAUCGAACUUGCAUCUUUGUAUUGAAGUUGAAACUCAAUUGUACCUGUUAAAUAUUCAGUGAACUCAUACAAUUGUCAAAUGUUGCCUUCUCCGACUAAAAUACAUCUUUUGGCCAAAAAUAAUUAAUCCAUUUCAGUUAAAAUUUUAGUCUAGUGCCAGAUAGCAUGAUUCGCCUCCAAUUACAAAGUGAUUUGUAACUUAGAAAGCACUAAUGCGACUCGGUUAAGGUUAAUUAAAUUGCAGUACCGCCUUCUUAGUCUUUGCAAGCAAUAUGUCUUUUGCUUCAUUAAUUUUUGAAGCAAUGUAGUGGCUACCUCUUGCAUAUAUGAUCAGUUAUUUUUUGCUUUGAUGUGUUAAAAUACUUUAUCGUUGACAGGCAGAUUUGUGAAGUUAGAGCAGCAAUGACAAGUUAAGACUAAAGCUAAGGUGCAGUUAAGUCGGUGCUACUUAGGGAAGAGAGAAAGGAGAAGACGAUGCUACUUUGUGUCUCAAGCAAGAUGGUGUUGUAGAAGACUUGCGUAUCGUGUUCUAAGCUACAUUGUAACAAUUCUUAUAUGUAUCUAUUUUGGAAUCUAAAAUAUUUGAAAUUUUAGCUGCAGGAUAAAAUUCUUGUGACCAAUUAUUUUGAAGCAAAUUCUUCAAUUAUAGCAAUAGAAAUUUAGAAUUCGGGGCUACACAUUUAUAUAAUUGAUGGUUAAUUUUUUCACUUUCCGUAGCAAAUGUUAAUUCUAUAUAUUUUAUGGCAAAAAGAAUGAAUUCUUAGUUACAUACCAAAAAGUUUGUGGC